rnacentral:lncRNA from 1 species
GCCAUAUUUCAGCUUUCUGACAUAUAACACUGUCAAAACUCGAGAGACGCGUACUACGGGACUUUAGCAAACGACGUAGAUAUUUCACUCAAUUUCAUUGUAUUUUUAUCACAUAAAACAUAGAAGAUGUCCACCCUCUGUCCCAACGACAUCAUAUAUAUCUAUAGACUUUUUUACUUCUUGUCAUUAGCUGUGAUAUUUC